CCUACGUGGGACAGCAGUGAGGAAUAUUGGUCAAUGGCCGAGAGGCUGAACCAGCCAAGUCGCGUGAGGGAAGACGGCCCUACGGGUUGUAAACCUCUUUUGUCGGGGAGCAAAGCGAGUCACGUGUGACUCAUUGAGAGUACCCGAAGAAAAAGCAUCGGCUAACUCCGUGCCAGCAGCCGCGGUAAUACGGAGGAUGCGAGCGUUAUCCGGAUUUAUUGGGUUUAAAGGGUGCGCAGGCGGAGGUGCAAGUCAGCGGUCAAAUUGCGGGGCUCAACCCCGUACUGCCGUUGAAACUGCAUCCCUUGAGUGCGCGAGAGGUAUGCGGAAUGCGUGGUGUAGCGGUGAAAUGCUUAGAUAGUGCGCAGAACUCCGAUUGCGAAGGCAGCAUACCGGCGGCGAUCGGACGCUGAGGCACGAAAGCGUGGGUAUCGAACAGGAUUAGAUACCCUUGUAGUC
rnacentral:rRNA from 1 species